CCUAUGGCACUAGGGAUCCGAUCCAAAUUAAAUUGAAUCGCCAAAUGGGAAGAAAAAAAAAGGCUCACAAGAUAGAAAAUGGGGCAAGAACAACAGCUCAUCACUAAAUGGGAAGGCUCUGUUGACUGGAGAAGCCGACCUGCAAUCAGAGGUCGCCAUGGCGGCAUGCUUGCCUCCUCCUUUGUGCUGGAUUAAUUCUUACUUCAGUAGAGUUCGAAAAGGAAUUAAACAUUAUAAAGUAUGGAAGCAGUUUGGGUUGCAAAAUACGUGAGUUCAGGAAAAGAGACAUUAUUGUGAUGAGGAAAACGUGGAGCAGUUAUGUAUUUGGAGAUAAAGGCAGAGAGAAAAGGGGGAGAAGAAGGGAGACGUGCGGUUUCCCUCCUUUUACAUUUCAUUUAUUUUAUUUUGUGUUUUACAUAUUUAUUCAUAAUCGUAAUCUAUUUGAAUUGAAGUGAAGUGAUUCUUACCACAAUUUUCUGCAAUUUUGGUUGACAA